GUGGGGAAUCUUCCGCAAUGGACGAAAGUCUGACGGAGCGACGCCGCGUGAGUGAAGAAGGCCUUCGGGUCGUAAAGCUCUGUCAUCAGGGACGAACGGCCGGUGGAGUGGAAAGCCACCGGAUUGACGGUACCUGAGAAGGAAGCCACGGCUAACUACGUGCCAGCAGCCGCGGUAAUACGUAGGUGGCAAGCGUUGUCCGGAAUUAUUGGGCGUAAAGCGCGCGCAGGUGGGAUCUUAAGUCCAUUUUUAAAGUUCGGAGCUCAACUCCGUGAUGGGAUGGAAACUGGGAUUCUUGAGUACCGGAGAGGAAAGCGGAAUUCCCCGUGUAGCGGUGAAAUGCGUAGAUAUGGGGAGGAACACCAGUGGCGAAGGCGGCUUACUGGACUGUAACUGACGCUGAGGCGCGAAAGUGUGGGGAGCAAACAGGAUUAGAAACCCGAGUAGUCC
rnacentral:rRNA from 1 species